UGAGCAGCUUUUCCAAAUCAAAACCUGUGAGUAAAAGUAGCUUCCGCCUCAAAAUUCCUUUUUUAUACCCAACACGCAACUUUUUCAAGUCCCUUCUCAUGACCUUUUGUAAAUUAGUCUUAUCAAGCUUCUGUAUUAAUCUUAACACUCCAAAAUUUCUGUAACCUUCCAAACCCAUAGAACUUGGCUAACCUCUAAACCACCACGCUCGCAUACGCGAUUAGCUCUCCCAGGGUCAGUUGGUUGUUUGUUACCGGUACAAACUCUACAGGCUAGACGCUUAACAACAUCAACAUCCUCAAACUCCUAGAAAGCCACUAACCCGUCCAAAUGAAUUUUGUCAGUCAUCCUCUCUC